CGCCUCCUGCCUCUUCCCCGGCCUGGGCAGCGCAGAGUGGGCUGCUGAGCCCUUCGUAUUUAUACCUCCUUCCCGGCUUUGACAUAAGAGGCGAGGACCCACAUUAACUCCUAUGAUGCUGAAGUGGCCCUUGGAGGGACAGCAUUCUGAUCUCUGCGGAGUCACCCCGGAGGUCUGACAGUGUCAGGAGAAAGAGGUCUCCAGAGACGGUCCCAGAGCUUUUCACUGUAAAACACAAGUGAGAGAUGGAAAAGGUCAUACUAAAACUAUGGGGUCCAGAAAAAAAUCACCGCACAGCCUAAUAAGCGCCACUCUGUUAAGGGACCAAAGACCUGCUGUGCUCCCUGGCUGGUGGGGCACAGCAGGAACCUACUGGCAGUGAGGCAGCAGCAGGCGGUAUCAACCCAGAAAGCUAGCAGUUCCCCAGCAGGAAAGCAGGUUUCCAGUUCUGAAGAUGCUUGUCUUCUGCCAUACAAUACUGCCAGUUACUGUAUGGCAGGACAGCCCCGAGGACUUCAGGAAGGGUGGCAGGCCCCCCUUCACUGCACUGCACCGCUGCUCCGGGUCCAAGUGUGUAUGGGGCUGAUUUGUUGUGCCCCACACUGCCACUCCCCCUGGAGAAGAGAGUGGUGGUGGGGAUGCAGGCAAAGGAGGAUGACAUGGUCUCAAGACAGCAAAGCUCAGCAAUUGCAUCCCACUGUAGCCUCAAUGGCUUAGGCCUUGGUUGGAUUUCGAAUCCUGUCCUCUAGGUAAGGAGUCUAGACCUAGCCGCUCCAUCCCCAUGGCCUUUCUCUGAGGCUGGAAGAUCCCUUGGAAUCCCCAGGACCAAGGCCUUUAGAUCUUUUGCCAGCUCACCCACCCCCAGCCACCCAGCUCUUUGCUUAUGCUGGGGUAUGGACAGUUGAGGCCAUGCUUGCUUCUUUCUAUCACCUUCCCCCCUUGGGUAGUGGUGGAGCUUCAGCAUGACAUGGGAGACACUCAGGACUUCUUAUCUUCAAAGAGGAGGCUCUUGCAGACAUAGAAGUACUUCUGUGACUACAGAACUCAGGGACAGACCCUUCCAAAUUCCCCCAAGUGUCUCCUCUCUUUGCUUUCUGGUCAACACAAAAGGAUGGCUGUGAAUUUGACAAAAGGAUGAAUAUCUCAGCCCAGCCAGCCAUGGAAUCUUCUUCCCUACGGUAUAGGAAUAGCUUGAGUCUAGGACUUUUUUUUUUUUCAGGGGUGGGGCUCUUACAAGCAGAGGAAUGGAAAGAAUAGCCUCCUCUUUGUUUACCCCCAAAUGAGCCAAAACCUUCAUGGGAGCACAACAGUAUAAUAACCUUGGGACAGACUGACCUGCACAGACAAUGAGGAAUCCCAUUUUCUCCAGGACGGUGUGACAUUUCAGCCAUGUGUCUUUGCUGUCUUGAAGCCCUGUAUUUGCCCUUUCCCAGAAUGAAACUGAUUUUCAAUAGCA